CCUACGGGUGGCAGCAGUGAGGAAUAUUGGUCAAUGGACGAGAGUCUGAACCAGCCAAGCAGCGUGAAGGAUGACGGCCCUCGGGGUGGUAAACUUCAUUUAGAGGGGAAUAAAAUGUUCGAUGUGAGGGAUAUAGUAUGGACCAUAUGAAUAAGGAUCGGCUAACUACGUGCCAGCAGCAGCGGUAAUACGGAGGAUCCGAGCGUUAUCCGGAUGUAGUGGGUUUAAAGGGAGCGUAGGUGGAUAGUUAAGUCAGUUGUGAAAGUCUGCGGCUCAAACGUUAAAUUGCAGUUGAAACGGGCUGUCUUGAGUACAGUAGAGGUGAGCGGAAUUCGUGGUGUAGCGGUGAAAUGCUUAGAUAUCACGAAGAACACCGAUUGCGAAGGCAGUUCACUGGACUGCAACUGACACUGAGGCUCGAAAGUGUGGGUAUCAAACAGGAUUAGAUACCCUAGUAGUC
rnacentral:rRNA from 1 species